UGGGGAAUAUUGCACAAUGGGCGCAAGCCUGAUGCAGCGACGCCGCGUGAGGGAUGACGGCCUUCGGGUUGUAAACCUCUGUUAGCAUCGAAGAAGCGAAAGUGACGGUAGGUGCAGAGAAAGCGCCGGCUAACUACGUGCCAGCAGCCGCGGUAAUACGUAGGGCGCGAGCGUUGUCCGGAAUUAUUGGGCGUAAAGAGCUUGUAGGCGGUUGGUCGCGUCUGCUGUGAAAGGCCGGGGCUUAACUCCGGUUUUGCAGUGGGUACGGGCUAACUAGAGUGCAGUAGGGGAGACUGGAAUUCCUGGUGUAGCGGUGGAAUGCACAGAUAUCAGGAGGAACACCGAUGGCGAAGGCAGGUCUCUGGGCUGUAACUGACGCUGAGAAGCGAAAGCAUGGGGAGCGAACAGGAUUAGAUACCCUGGUAGUCCAUGCCGUAAACGUUGGGCACUAGGUGUGGGGGACAUUCCACGUUUUCCGCGCCGUAGCUAACGCAUUAAGUGCCCCGCCUGGGGAGUAUGGCCGCAAGGCU
rnacentral:rRNA from 1 species